GGGUCAGUAGGUUGGUCGUGCCACCGGUACGUACUGGUCCCACUGAUUCCUCCUUCCUGAAGAACCGUAAUGCCAUUAAUUUGGUGUUGCGGGGAAACAGGACUGUUACUUUGAAAAAAUUAGAGUGUUUAAAGCAAGCUAACGCUCGAAUACAUUAGCAUGGAAUAAUGAAAUAGGACGAUCGAUCCUAUUUUGUUGGUUUCUAGGAUUGACGUA
rnacentral:rRNA from 1 species